rnacentral:rRNA from 1 species
AACGAACGCUGGCGGCAGGCUUAACACAUGCAAGUCGAGCGCCCCGCAAGGGGAGCGGCAGACGGGUGAGUAACGCGUGGGAAUCUACCCAUCUCUACGGAAUAACGCAUGGAAACGUGUGCUAAUACCGUAUACGUCCUUCGGGAGAAAGAUUUAUCGGAGAUGGAUGGGCCCGCGUUGGAUUAGCUAGUUGGUGGGGUAAAGGCCUACCAAGGCGACGAUCCAUAGCUGGUCUGAGAGGAUGAUCAGCCACACUGGGACUGAGACACGGCCCAGACUCCUACGGGAGGCAGCAGUGGGGAAUAUUGGACAAUGGGCGCAAGCCUGAUCCAGCCAUGCCGCGUGAGUGAUGAAGGCCCUAGGGUUGUAAAGCUCUUUCACCGGUGAAGAUAAUGACGGUGACCGGAGAAGAAGCCCCGGCUAACUUCGUGCCAGCCGCCGCGGUAAAAC